UACGAAGGGGGGCUAGCGUUGCUCGGAAUCACUGGGCGUAAAGGGUGCGUAGGCGGGUCUUUAAGUCAGGGGUGAAAUCCUGGAGCUCAACUCCAGAACUGCCUUUGAUACUGAGGAUCUUGAGUUCGGGAGAGGUGAGUGGAACUGCGAGUGUAGAGGUGAAAUUCGUAGAUAUUCGGAGGAACACCAGAAGCGAAGGCGGCUCACUGGCCCGAUACUGACGCUGAGGCACGAAAGCGUGGGGAGCAAACAGG
rnacentral:rRNA from 1 species